rnacentral:rRNA from 1 species
UACGUAGGUGGCAAGCGUUGUCCGGAUUUACUGGGCGUAAAGAGCGCGCAGGCGGUCGUUCAAGUCGCGUGUGAAAGCCCCCGGCUCAACUGGGGAGGGUCACGCGAUACUGAUCGACUCGAAGGCAGGAGAGGGUAGUGGAAUUCCCGGUGUAGAGGUGAAAUUCGUAGAUAUUCGCAAGAACACCAGUGGCGAAGGCGGCUCACUGGCCCGAUACUGACGCUGAGGCACGAAAGCGUGGGGAGCAAACAGG